GUGUCAGCCGCCGCGGUAAUACGGAGGAUGCAAGCGUUAUCCGGAAUCAUUGGGCGUAAAGCGUCCGCAGGUGGCACUUCAAGUCUGCUGUCAAAGGUCGGGGCUUAACUCCGAACAGGCAGUGGAAACUGAAGUGCUCGAGUGCGGUAGGGGCAGAGGGAAUUCCUGGUGUAGCGGUGAAAUGCGUAGAGAUCAGGAAGAACACCGGUGGCGAAAGCGCUCUGCUAGGCCGCAACUGACACUCAGGGACGAAAGCUAGGGGAGCGAAUGGGAUUAGAUACCCCAGUAGUCCUAGCUGUAAACGAUGGAUACUAGGCGUUGCUUGUAUCGACCCAAGCAGUGCCGUAGCUAACGCGUUAAGUAUCCCGCCUGGGGAGUACGCACGCAAGUGUGAAACUCAAAGGAAUUGACGGGG
rnacentral:rRNA from 1 species